AACACUCUCAUAUGCCCCACAAAACAUGUUAAACAAGCACACUUAGUCAGAGCCAGAGAUCUAGACACUGAGUGUGUGUGUGUGUGUGUGUGUAUCAGUGCUGUGCUGAACAUGGUGUUUUUGAUAGAACUGGUUUUGGCUGGUAAUGCCCAGUCCCGUCUGAAGUUCAGGGUGAGGUUCCCUUUCCAAACUGUGUCUGUGUGUGUGUGUGUGUGUGUGAGAGAGAGAGAGAGAGAGUUUGUCCAUGCAUUCCACUAGCUUGGGAAAAAAAUUCCACAGGAAAUUUGCAAAAUGCCAGUCAUUCAUCUCAGCGUUGGGUUAUAAAGGGCUGCAUGUUUAGCUUAUUGACCACAACAUGGGAAAAGUCACAUAUUUUGUAUGAUUUUACAUUUUCAUUCAGCUAACAAAAAUACAUUUUAAGAAAGUUUUACUAAUGUUCCCACUAGUUAUGAAAAUGUUUUUUCUGAAUGUUCUCUAAACAUUCAAAACUUUAUAAAUGUUUUAAAAACUUUUUUUUUCUUGGUAAUGCAAACGUUAAAGCUGCAGUCCGUAACUUUUUUUGGAUAAAAAUGAUCCAAAAUCAAUUUCUGAGCAAGUACAUAUCCAGCCAGUGUUCAAAACUAUCUCCUUACCUUAGCUCGAUUCACAACAGUAAGCUUGUAAUAAUGUUUUAUAAUGAAAAUCGGUUCUGGUGCACAAGGGGGAUGCCACUGUCGCGAAAGUGAAAGUGCCCUUUGCGGUCUACCGCGGGAGAAACCCACAACACCCCCAUACACCCUCAAGACUUCGGACUGUGGAGUGGCUACAGGAACUGAAAUCUACAGUUGGUCAGAAGAAAAGUGGCAGAUUCAUUAAUUAUUCCUUCAGAAGACAUUUUCUGGUGAAAAUUCAUAUUUUGGUCACACUUCCAAGACGUAGAAUCUGUGAUUCUGAAGUACAGUAUGCACCGGUGCGGUGACCGACAGCAAACAGAUUCAUCCGCGCUGAGGAGCCGUGCCGAUGCACAACACACGUAAAGAUGAUAAUUCCACAAAUAACUGCAAUUGCAGGUUUCAAACAGAGAUGGAGACAAAGAGGCAAAACUUACGGACUGCAGCUUUAAGGGAACAUUCCAUCAUUCUGCAAACAUUAUGGGAACGUUACUUUUGAAUGCUAGUAGUAACAUUUUAAAAAACGUCAGAGGAACUAAAACAUUUCGGGGGAAAAACUUUAUUAAAGACCAGAUAACUGAACGAACAUUCUAUUAUCGUUACUGGAGGAACGUUUGUUCAUAACUUUGAGAGAACCUUGCCGGAACGUUCUGAGAACAUUUCCUGUUAGCUGCGUAUACAUUGAGCAGAUGCUUUUAUUCGAAGUGACUCUUGUUGUGUUCAAGGUACACAUUUACUCUUGAUCAGUUGUGAUUUCUCUCUCAGCUCACAGUUACACACGCAUGAUGGAGCUUUAGUUAAUGCUGUCAAUCACAACCUGAUGAAUAUAUGCAUUAUAACUCACUUCCGUGACAAAUAUUCUGCCAUCUUUAAGUAAAAUAAAAUAUUUUAUUAAUAAAGUA